rnacentral:lncRNA from 1 species
CUGCACAGGAAGAGGCAAAGCUGUUUCUGUGGUGGCAUCAAAUCCUGCAGCUGUCUCUGAUUCAGUUGGAGCAGAACGACUCCGUCCUGACAGAGUCCGUCAUCCGGAUCCUGCUCAUGCUGCAGAGCAGGCAGAGCCUUAUGGCCGAGGAGAGGCUCAGCUCUGGGAUUCUGGGGGCAAUCGGGUUGGGCCGGAGAUCACCCUUGUCCAACAGGUUCCGAGUGGCUGCCCGAAGCAUGGCUGCCUUCCUGUUGGUUCAGGUCCCUGCAGAAGACCAGAUUCGUCUGAAACCCAGCUCUGAGUUACAUCUGGCUCCAAAAGCUCAGCAGGU